rnacentral:rRNA from 1 species
AGAGUUUGAUCCUGGCUCAGAAUCAACGCUGGCGGCGCGCCUAACACAUGCAAGUCGAACGAGAAAGUGGAGCAAUCCAUGAGUACAGUGGCGUACGGGUGAGUAACACGUGGAUAACCUACCUCUUUGUGGGGAAUAACCGAGGGAAACCUUGGCUAAUACCGCAUGAGCCCGAGAGGGGAAACGCGAAAGCGGCAGAGAGAGGGGUCCGCGGCCGAUUAGCUAGUUGGCAGGGUAAAAGCCUACCAAGGCAAAGAUCGGUAGCCGGCCUGAGAGGGCACACGGCCACACUGGCACUGAAACACGGGCCAGACUCCUACGGGAGGCAGCAGUGGGGAAUCUUGCACAAUGGGGGAAACCCUGAUGCAGCGACGCCGCGUGAGCGAUGAAGCCCUUCGGGGUGUAAAGCUCUUUCGGCAGGGAAGAUGAUGACGGUACCUGCAGAAGCAGCUGCGGCUAACUACGUGCCAGCAGCCGCGGUAAUACGUAGGCAGCAAGCGUUGUUCGGAGUUACUGGGCGUAAAGGGUGUGUAGGCGGUUGUUUAAGUUUGGUGUGAAAUCUCCCGGCUCAACUGGGAGGGUGCGCCGAAUACUGAAUGACUUGGAGUGCGGGAGAGGAAAGUGGAAUUCCUGGUGUAGCGGUGAAAUGCGUAGAUAUCAGGAGGAACACCGGUGGUGUAGACGGCUUUCUGGACCGUAACUGACGCUGAGACACGAAAGCGUGGGUAGCAAACAGGAUUAGAUACCCCGGUAGUCC